rfam:Trichinella sp. T6 scaffold3426s, whole genome shotgun sequence.
UUAACUGUAUUGUAUUUUACUAAGAUCAAAGUAAAGCAUCUGUUCUUAUCAGCUUAAUUUCUGGUAUGAAUCCCAAGUGGAUUCG